AUUGAACGCUGGCGGCAGGCCUAACACAUGCAAGUCGAGCGAGGGGCGGACGGGUGAGUAAUGUAUGGGGAACUGCCCGAUAGAGGGGGAUAACUACUGGAAACGGUGGCUAAUACCGCCUACUAUCGGAUGUACCCAUAUGGGAUUAGCUAGUAGGUGGGGUAAAGGCUCACAUAGGCGACGAUGUCUAGCUGGUCUGAGAGGAUGACCAGCCACCCGGUGACUGAGACACGGUCCAGACUCCUACGGGAGGCAGCAGUGGGUAAUAUUGCACAAUGGGCGCAAGCCUGAUGCAGCCAUGCCGCGUGUAUGAAGAAGGCCUUCGGGUUGUAAAGUACUUUCAGCGGGGAGGCGUUACCCGCAGAAGAAGCACCGGCUAACUCCGUGCCAGCAGCCGCGGUAAUUC
rnacentral:rRNA from 1 species